GACGAACGCUGGCGGCGUGCUUAACACAUGCGAGUCGAACGGAAAGGCCCUGCUUUUGUGGGGUGCUCGAGUGGCGAACGGGUGAGUAACACGUGAGUAACCUGCCCUUGACUUUGGGAUAACUUCAGGAAACUGGGGCUAAUACCGGAUAGGAGCUCCUGCUGCAUGGUGGGGGUUGGAAAGUUUCGGCGGUUGGGGAUGGACUCGCGGCUUAUCAGCUUGUUGGCGGGGUAGUGGCUUACCAAGGCUUUGACGGGUAGCCGGCCUGAGAGGGUGACCGGCCACAUUGGGACUGAGAUACGGCCCAGACUCCUACGGGAGGCAGCAGUGGGGAAUAUUGCACAAUGGGCGGAAGCCUGAUGCAGCAACGCCGCGUGCGGGAUGACGGCCUUCGGGUUGUAAACCGCUUUCGCCUGUGACGAAGCGUGAGUGACGGUAAUGGGUAAAGAAGCACCGGCUAACUACGUG
rnacentral:rRNA from 1 species